rnacentral:tmRNA from 1 species
GGGGUAGAUAAGGAAGCGAGAUGUCUCUGAAAAGCCCUUGUUGACGGCGGUUCGUACAGAGGCACCAUAAAAGUCAACAUUGAAUCGGAUGAUGGUUUCCGCUGAAGAUUCGGAUUUCAGGAAACUAAGCGUGUUGUGGGCGGUUUUUGGUCAGCAACCCGACGAAAAUCAAACAAAAACUAAGUAUGUAGAAAGCCUUUGAAUUGCUUAUUUGGACGAGAGUUCGAUUCUCUCCGACUCCACAA